CAGAAAGUAGUUUAGUGUAAAAUAGCCAGCUUUGGGAGUUGGAGAUGGAGGUUUGAGCUCUCUCUUUCUGA
rnacentral:tRNA from 1 species